AUGGCCGCCGCCGCCGCCGCUAAGAAGAAGGCCACGGACGACGCUGAGGCUGCUGCUGCCGCCGCCGUGUUGGCCUGGCCAACCGGAGGAGACGACCAAAACCAGCCAGGCAAAGCGAGGAUGAGCUCGAGCCAGAGGACGCUCCGGGACGUGAUGAUGCAGGAGGAGAGGCCGACCACCAUGGCCAGCCGCCUCCUCGCCCCGGACGCCUCCCUCUCCAACCCCUCCUUCCGCACCUACUACGGCGUCGCCUCCGCGGGCUCGGUGCCGUUCCUCUGGGAGUCGGCGCCGGGGACGCCCAAGAACGACGGCGCCUCGUCCAGGGCGCUCCCGCCCAUCACGCCGCCGCCUUCCUACUACAGCAAGACGAAGAUCACCAAGUCGGAGUCCUCCAAGAAGCUGCUCUCGUCCUCCAGGCCGGCCAGCUUCGUCCCGACGAUGUUCCGCAGGAGCCACACGAUGCCGGCUCCCUCGCCGUCCAAGGAGUACAGCCGGAGGAAGAGGCUGGUGGCGAGCCCGCCGCGGUCGUCCUUCUCGUCCACGUCAAGGGGAGAGGACGAAGAAGCGGACGGCGGGGCGGCGUCACCGACGUCUACCCUGUGCUUCCGCGCCCGGCGCUCCGGCGGGGGAACCGGCAGGCUGCAUGGGAUGAUUGCCUCCGUGGUGGGAAGGGAGCGCCAGUGCACCGCCCUGCAGCGAUUCGCGCAGCGCCGCCGGGGCCGCGACGAAGGAGGCAUCAUCGUCAUCGAGGAUAGCGACGAGGACGACGCGCCGCCGCCAUCAGUCCGCGUUGGCGACGCCGGUCAGGUGUCCACCAGGGACGGCGGCGUCAAGGAGGAGAAGCCCGACGACGACGACGGCGGCGAUGACGACGGCGACUACUCCGCGUUCAGCCAGUUUCUUUUUUAA
rnacentral:rRNA from 1 species